AUUGAACGCUGGCGGCAUGCCUUACACAUGCAAGUCGAACGGCAGCACGGGUGCUUGCUCCUGGUGGCGAGUGGCGAACGGGUGAGUAAUACAUCGGAACAUGUCCUUUAGUGGGGGAUAGCCCGGCGAAAGCCGGAUUAAUACCGCAUACGAUCUACGGACGAAAGCGGGGGACCUUCGGGCCUCGCGCUAUAGGGUUGGCCGACGGCUGAUUAGCUAGUUGGUGGGGUAAAGGCCUACCAAGGCGACGAUCAGUAGCUGGUCUGAGAGGACGACCAGCCACACUGGGACUGAGACACGGCCCAGACUCCUACGGGAGGCAGCAGUGGGGAAUUUUGGACAAUGGGCGAAAGCCUGAUCCAGCAAUGCCGCGUGUGUGAAGAAGGCCUUCGGGUUGUAAAGCACUUUUGUCCGGAAAGAAAUCCUUGGCCCUAAUACGGUCGGGGAAUGACGGUACCGGAAGAAUAAGCACCGGCUAACUACGUG
rnacentral:rRNA from 1 species